AUCGCUGCGCUCCUCUUUCCCCUCUGCCUCGCUCUCGUCUUCCUGCGGGCACAGCAGCACCCGCACCUUUCGCAGCAAAUCCUGAGCUCGGUACUUGGAUCUGUAGGGUUCGUUUUCCGGGUCGUUCUUGGAUUCCACAUCUGAUAAGGUGAUGGCCCGCUGAACUCGGUAUUCAUAAUGUGGAAGAAGGAAACGACACCAAAGCAAUAGAACUGUUCAGUGUCCCAAGGAUUACAGUUUGUCCUGUAGAAGGAGUGAUUAUUGGACUGAUACACCCUGGGAAACCAGCAGUAGUGGAUAACACAACAAGAGAAAACGGAUGUUCAAGCAAUAUUCAUUUCCUGAGAUACUAUACAGAUAUUUUGGCAACCAUUCAUACUGCUUAUAGCUGUUAAAGUUUUAUCCUAAGGCAUUCAUUGACACUGAAGUUUCCAUCCAACUAUCCAGAUUGCCCUAAAGGCUAUUUCAGAAAAGGAAGAGCUUCGCGAGGCUGCAGAAAACAUGGAUUUAAAGUUUAUUUUUGAGAUAAUCAUUCCUUUACUCCUAUACUGAAAAAAUGGCAAUGGACUUGGGUCAAGUGGGUGCAGAUAUGGAAGAAAACCAAAGGCAGAUAGCGAGAUUCUGAGAGAGAUGCAAAGGUGCCUUUGUGGCUAGACUCAAUGCUGGUCUUGUCUACAAGUCUUUUCCCAAGAUGGGAGAUCGAUGGAUCCCAGGCGACCUACUAACAUUCUCUCCAGCUUUUCAAAACUUUUUUGAAUAUGCUUCAACUGUUCGAUUUGAUCACAGAAUCCUUGGGAUUAGCAGGCCUGGACUGGGAGUCAAAAUAGGCCCUGCCAUUCCAAGUACACAGAGG